rnacentral:pre_miRNA from 1 species
AAUAAACCAAUUUUUUACUUUUUACCUAUAAUUUUUUGCUCUUCGUCUUAUUCAAAAAAAAUUUAUGAUUAAUAUUUUUGUUUUUAUUAGAUGAUAAAUCAUAAAUAGUAUUUUACGUGUGACUAUUUUUUUUUUUAAUUUUCUAAAAAAUUUUCAAAUAAGACGGAUGAUCAAAACGUUGGACAUAAAAAACAAUUGUUUUCUUGGAC